AUGUGUAUCGCUGCAUGGAUUUGGCAGGCUCACCCACAGCAUCAGCUCCUGCUUCUGCUCAACAGAGAUGAGUUCCAUAGCAGGCCUACAAAGGCAGUAGGAUGGUGGGGGGAGGGCUCAAUGAAGAUUCUUGGCGGCAGGGAUGUGCUUGGUGGAGGAACAUGGAUGGGGAGCACCAAGGAUGGCAGACUUGCCUUCCUGACCAAUGUGCUCGAGCCUGAUGCGAUGCCUGGCGCACGCACUAGGGGAGACCUGCCCCUCAGGUUCCUGCAGGGCAACAAGAGCCCACUGGAGGUUGCAACUGAAGUCGCAAAAGAAGCUGAUGAGUACAAUGGCUUCAACCUUAUACUAGCUGAUCUAACCAGGAAUGUCAUGGUUUAUGUGUCAAACCGGCCAAAGGGGCAGCCUGCGACGAUUCAGCUCGUCUCACCAGGACUCCAUGUGUUGUCCAAUGCAAGGCUAGACAGCCCUUGGCAGAAGGCAAUUCGCCUUGGUAAAAACUUCAGGGAGUUUAUAAGGAAGCAUGGUGAUGAUGAAGUUGAAGCGAAGGAUAUAGCUGACAGACUAAUGACUGACACCACGAGGGCUGAUAAAGAUAGGCUGCCAAACACCGGUUGUGAUCCCAACUGGGAGCACGGUCUGAGCUCCAUCUUCAUCGAGGUGCAAACUGACGAAGGGCUCUAUGGGACAAGGAGCACAGCAGUUCUUUCAGUGAACUAUGAUGGAGAAGCUAGCUUAUAUGAGAAGUACCUCGAGAGUGGUAUAUGGAAGAACCACACAGUGCAUUACCAGAUAGAAUUGCCAAUGCGCACCUAA
rnacentral:rRNA from 1 species